rnacentral:rRNA from 1 species
GUGGGGAAUAUUGGACAAUGGGCGAAAGCCUGAUCCAGCAAUGCCACGUGAGUGAUGAAGGCCUUAGGGUUGUAAAGCUCUUUUACCAGGGAUGAUAAUGACAGUACCUGGAGAAUAAGCUCCGGCUAACUCCGUGCCAGCAGCCGCGGUAAUACGGAGGGAGCUAGCGUUGUUCGGAAUUACUGGGCGUAAAGCGCACGUAGGCGGUUACUCAAGUCAGAGGUGAAAGCCCGGGGCUCAACCCCGGAACUGCCUUUGAAACUAGGUAACUAGAAUCUUGGAGAGGUCAGUGGAAUGCCGAGUGUAGAGGUGAAAGUCGUAGAUAUUCGGAAGAACACCAGUGGCGAAGGCGACUGACUGGACAAGUAUUGACGCUGAGGUGCGAAAGCGUGGGGAGCAAACAGGAUUAGAAACCCCAGUAGUCC